rnacentral:rRNA from 1 species
UGGGAAUUUGGACAAUGGGCGAAAGCCUGAUCCAGCAAUGCCGCGUGUGUGAAGAAGGCCUUCGGGUUGUAAAGCACUUUUGUCCGGAAAGAAAUCCUUGGCUCUAAUACAGUCGGGGGAUGACGGUACCGGAAGAAUAAGCACCGGCUAACUACGUGCCAGCAGCCGCGGUAAUACGUAGGGUGCAAGCGUUAAUCGGAAUUACUGGGCGUAAAGCGUGCGCAGGCGGUUUGCUAAGACCGAUGUGAAAUCCCCGGGCUCAACCUGGGAACUGCAUUGGUGACUGGCAGGCUAGAGUAUGGCAGAGGGGGGUAGAAUUCCACGUGUAGCAGUGAAAUGCGUAGAGAUGUGGAGGAAUACCGAUGGCGAAGGCAGCCCCCUGGGCCAAUACUGACGCUCAUGCACGAAAGCGUGGGGAGCAAACAGGAUUAGAUACCCUGGUAGUCCACGCCCUAAACGAUGUCAACUAGUUGUUGGGGAUUCAUUUCCUAGUAACGUAGCUAACGCGUGAAGUUGACCGCCUGGGGAGUACGGUCGCAAGAUUAAAACUUAAAUGAAUUGACGGGGUCAUAGCUGUUUCCU